AGGUCCCCCUUGGGAAUUGAGCCCACAACCCUGGAAUUGCAAGUGCCAUGCUCUACCAACUGAGCUACAUGGGACGGAACCACAUUGAAAAAGAACUACACAUGCCUGCUGCAAGCGUCACGUAAUUCACCAGGGCCAUGAUGGUUGAACGAGACUGCUGAGUCGAGGCAAAGGUUUCAGCAUGAUGUUGCACGGCCCCAUGUCGCAAGGAUCUACACAAUUCCUGGAAGCUGAACAUUUCCCAGUUCUUCCAUGGCCUGCAUACUCACCUGGCAACAUUCCACAGGCCACAAUCACCAGCAUGAUCAACUCUAUGCGAAGGAGGCAAAUGGUGGUCACACCAAAUACUGACUGGUUUUCUGAUCCAAGCCCCUACUUUUUUUAAGCAUAAGAAGAACCUGCUCUCCUCCACCAGUACAAGGAGAUGAAUUCAGGACCUGAGCCCUAGGACCUGAGCUCCAGGACUACCUGACAUGAUGACUCCUUGCUGUCCCCAGUCCACCUGGCCAUGCUGCUGUUCCAGUUUCAACUGACCUGAGCCCUAGGACCAUGCCCCAGGACUACCUGACAUGAUGACUCCUUG
ensembl:lncRNA